UAUACUUUUUAUCCACCGAAGGUGGUAGACAAAGAAUUUCUCUUUAAUGUCAAAUCUACGUCUUAGCUUUGUCAGCUAGGUCUUUUAUCAUUGCACUAAGCAAUGGCCUUUUAAAAAUUUAUCACCAACAAGUCCAGCAUAACACGUUGGAAAUGCAUGAUCUGAAAGUAUCAAGAUAUGGGCCAUUGCGAUGCAUUCUAAUUGGCAUUUGUUAUUAUUAUUUUUAUGGGGG
rnacentral:lncRNA from 1 species